UUGGAGGGCAAGUCUGGUGCCAGCAGCCGCGGUAAUUCCAGCUCCAAUAGCGUAUAUUAAAGUUGCUGCAGUUAAAAAGCUCGUAGUUGAAUUUCGGGACCAUCAUGUCGGUCGUGCCUCGGUACGUACUGGUAUUGUUGGUUUCUCCCUUCUGACGAACCAUGAUGUCAUUUAUUUGGUGUUGUGGGGAAUCAGGACUGUUACUUUGAAAAAAUUAGAGUGUUUAAAGCAGGCUCACGCUUGAAUACAUUAGCAUGGAAUAAUGAAAUAGGACGUUUGAUUCUAUUUUGUUGGUUUCUAGGAUCGACGUAAUGAUUAAUAGGGAUAGUUGGGGGCAUUAGUAUUCAAUUGUCAGAGGUGAAAUUCUUGGAUUUAUUGAAGACUAACUACUGCGAAAGCAUUUGCCAAGGAUGUUUUCAUUAAUCAAGAACGAAAGUUAGGGGAUCGAAGACGAUCAGAUACCGUCGUAGCCUUAACCAUAAACUAUGCCGACUAGGGAUCGGAUGAUGUUAAUUUUUUAAUGACUCAUUCGGCGCCUUACGGGAAAC
rnacentral:rRNA from 1 species